CCUAUGGGUGGGGAAUAUUGCACAAUGGGAGGAAACUCUGUAUGCAGCGACGCCGCGUGAACGAUGAAGGCCUUCGGGUCGUAAAGUUCUGUCCUUGGGGACGAUAAUGACGGUACCCAAGGAGGAAGCCCCGGCUAACUACGUGCCAGCAGCCGCGGUAAUACGUAGGGGGCGAGCGUUGUCCGGAAUUAUUGGGCGUAAAGGGUUCGCAGGCGGUUGUAUAAGUCAGGUGUGAAAGGCGCAAGCUUAACUUGUGUAAGCACUUGAAACUGUCGACUUGAGUUAAGGAGAGGAAAGUAGAAUUCCUAGUGUAGCGGUGAAAUGCGUAUAUAUUAGGAGGAAUACCAGUGGCGAAAGAGCGACUUUCUGGACUUAUACUGACGCUGAGGAACCAAAGCGUGGGGAGCAACAGGAUUAGAUACCCUGGUAGAAAA
rnacentral:rRNA from 1 species